GUUUCUCACGCCAUUAAGUGAAUGACUUGGCUCGAGAGCUGAAGAAGGUCGUGGCAAGCUGCGAUAAGCUUGGGGUAGGUGCAUGCAGCCGUUGAUCCCGAGAUCACCGAAUCAGACUUCUGUUGCUUAGGCAAAACUAGAGAUAGUGAGUUACGCGGGGGACUGAAGCGUCUUAGUACCCGCAGGAAAAGAAAUCAAUUGAGAUGCGGUUAAAUUUAUCAGCGAGAAAAAACCGCAUAGGGCAAACCGAAUCCUUUAUUGAAAGAUAGAGGAAAUGUGGUGUUUGGGCAAAUCUUUUUACCCUAGUUAGUUAAUCUGAAUUUUCCUGGAAAGGAAAACCAUAGAGAGUGAUAGUCUCGUAAGAAUAAGCUAAUGGGUAUUGAUUUGUUCCAGAGUAAGGUACAUUGGAAAUUGUGUCUGAAUAUGGGGGACAUCAACCUCUAACCCUAAAUACAUCUCGAGACCGAUAGCGUACUAGUACCGUGAGGGAAAGUUGAAAAGAACCUGUAACAGGGUGUGAAAAGAUCUGAAACUUAAUGGUUAUAGUAUGUUGCGGCUUUUAGGAGUUGCAACGUACGUUUCGAAUAACGGACCAGGGAGUAUACUUGAGUGGCGAGGAUAAUUUUGUUAAGAAAGUAUUCGUAGCGAAAGCAAUUUCUCGCAGGUAACGAGGAGAGAGGUGUUAAUAGCGCCUACAGUCACUUGAGUCUUACCCGAAACCGGGUGAUCUAGCCAUGGGCAAGGUGAAGCAGGAGUAAAAUCUUGUGGAGGCCUGAAGAGUUUCUGCGGACAAGCGUUCUUAUGACCUGUGGCUAGGGGUGAAAAGCCAAUCGAACCCGGUAAUAGCUGGUUCCUGCCGAAGUGGGCCGUAGUCCAGUCUUAGUGGAGAUAGUUAUGGUAGUAGAGCUACGGAUUUGGGGUUUUGGGGGAGAAAUCCCUCGGCCUCUUGUUCAACUCCAAACGCCAUUACAUCUUAGAUGCUAGGAUACGGCGGUAGGCGGUAAGCGUCUAUCGCGAGAGGGGAACAACCCAGACUAUAGUUAAGGUCCCUAAAUACUGUUUGAGUGUUAAAGGGUGAAAGGUGUGCAACACCAAAGACAGCUGGGAGGUAAGCUCAGAAGCAGCUAUCCUUUAAAGAAAGCGUAAUAGCUCACCAUUCUAGGUGUUGUGCCCUGAAAAUGGACGGGGCUAAAUCAGUUACCGAUACUAUAGGCGUCUUAAAAGAUUGCGGUAGGCAGGUGUUCUGCUUGAGUGGAAGUCAGUACGUAAGUGCUGGUGGAUCGAGUGGAAAUAAGAAUCCUGGUGGUAGUAAGAUCAGUUCAUAGUGAGAAUCUAUGGUACCUUAAGGGCAAGGGUUUCUUGGCAAUGUAGAUCAGCCAAGAGUAAGUCGAUCCUAACUAAGUUCGUAAUGGAACAAUAGGAAAGGGAAAAAGGUUAACAUUCCUUUACCAUCUAAAUACUCGGCGACGGAAGUUUUAUUUCUGACGCUUGGGGAUAGACCGACAUUUCUCGUCUGGAAUGCCAAUUAGGAUAAGUCAAAGGAGUAUCGUAAUGAUGAGAAUUUGAUUAAACCUGAGAAUGGUCUGCCUUAUGGCGGAUUUGGUCAACUCCUCGAGUCCAUGAAAAAGAAAUAAAAAUGGAUUUUAGAUGAUCGUACCCAGAACCGGCACAGGUGCCCCUAGGUGAGAAACCUAAGGUAUGAGGGAGUAAUCCUAUUAAGGGAAUUCGGCAAAUUAGUUCCGUAUCUUUGGUAUAAGGAAUCCCUGCGUUUGUCUUCGUAUGAAGGCGAUUACAGGGUGCAAUUACAAGAGAGAUCCGACUGUUUAACAAAAACAUAACUGAUCGCUAGCCUGUAAAGGUGUGUAUGGUCAGUGACGUCUGCCCAGUGCUGGUACUUGAAACUUCUUUUCAAGGAAGCUAAGAGCCAGUAAACGGCGGGAAUAACUAUGAUUCUCUUAAGGUAGCGAAAUGCCUUGUCGUUUUAUUGACGACUUGCAUGAAAGGCGUAACGAGAUCUCUACUGUCCCUAAUAGGAAUCCCCUGAACACACUAUCCUGGUGCAAAGGCCAGGGACCUCCAGUGGGAAGUAUAGACCCCGUAGAACUUUACUACAGUCAUUUGUUGUGAUGUUAGUUUUGUUGUGCAGUGUAGGUGGGAGUUGCUAAAGCUCUGACGCAAGUUUGAGUGUAGACGACGAUGAGACACCACCCUUCAAAAUUGACAUUGCUUACCUUCGAAAGAAGAGACAUCAUAUGAUGGGUAGUUUGGCUGGGGCGGCACCCUGCUGAAAAGAUAUCAGCAGGGCCCAAUGGUUAGCUCAAUCGGGUCAGAAAUCCGAUGUAGAGUGCAAGAGCAAAAGCUAGCCUUACUGUAUUCCGAAUAAUAAGGAAUUUAGUGACGAAAGUCUGGUCUAGCGAACCCUUGUGUCCUCCUUGAUGGGGGCCAAGGCAGACAGAAAAGCUAUCUCGGGGAUAACUGAGUGGUAGCGCCUGAUAGCUCGAAUUGACGGCGCUGUUUGCUACGACGAUGUCGGCUCAACUCAACCUGGGCGUGCAGAAGCGCCCAAGGGUGGGGGUGUUCACCCAUUAAAGAGUUUCGUGAGCUGGGUUCAGAACGUUGUGAGACAGUUUGUUCAAUAUCUAGUGGAGGUGUUCAGUAUCUGAGAGGAAGGAUCCUUUAGUACGAGAGGAACGAGGAUUCGUAGCCUCUGGUGUAUCGGUUAUCCGACAGGGUAGGCCGAGCAGCUACGCUAUAAGUGAUAAGAGCUGAAAGCAUCUAAGCUCGAAGCAUCCCUCAAAAAGAGAUACUACAAGCUCUCGUAGAAGACGAGUUUGAUAGGAACGGCGUGUAAGUGCCAAGGUAACGAGGUAUUUAGCGUGCGUUUACUAAUCGCUUG
rnacentral:rRNA from 1 species